AAAAAAAAAGAAAAAAAAAGGGAGGUAGGCGGUGGGAGAGGAGGAGAGAAAGAGAGGAGGAGAGGAGUCCAGAGGGCUGAAUUUGACAUUUGAUACUCAGGAAGUUCAGGACUGCGUUUGGAUUUCUUUUGUCUCAUUGUGAUCCUGCAGAGCUGCGGCGCGGAGGCUUGUGUCACCAUCAGCAAGUACCAACUCGGCUUGAAACCCGGAGCAAAAAGCUUUGAGGCGUAAUGAUAGGUUUGCGAUGAAAGUGAGCGACUUUAGUGUGUAAGAUGUGCCGAUCAGCUGCAAGGGAUUCAAAGGAACAAAGACGCAUCUUAAACAUGUUGGACGGGGCCUGAGAACCAGGGUUGGGAACCACUGUUUUACAUGACUAUAUCCCCAUGAAAAGCACACUAACCAUCAGGUACCCAUAGACUAGUAGCCUCUUGUCCACUGACUGCUGAAGAAAAGCACCUGCCUUCAGGUCACUUACCAAUUUUUAAGGAAUAUUGAGAUUUUAAAAAGUUCCAAAACACACUAAAAAAUCCCAACACAGUGUUCUUAUAGUUUAAAAUGCUGUUAAUAUGAUGCUAAACAGAGUGUUGUAAUGACUGGAGUGUUUUUCAGUCAAAGUUGCUCUGCUCCUACCCCAAAUAUUGCCCCACAUAAGCUAACCCUUAACAUUAAGGGUUA